rnacentral:rRNA from 1 species
UAGUCCACGCCGUAAACGAUGAUAACUCGUUGCUGGUAAUACACCAUCAGUGACUGAGCGAAAGCAUUAAGUUAUCCACCUGGGGAGUACGAUCGCAAGGUUGAAACUCAAAGGGAUUGACGGGGGCCCGCACAAGCGGAGGAACAUGUGGUUUAAUUCGACGAUACGCAAGGAACCUUACCUGGGCUUAAAUGUGUUCGGACCGACUUAGAGAUAGGUCUUCCCUUCGGGGCUGAAUACAAGGUGCUGCAUGGUUGUCGUCAGCUCGUGCCGUGAGGUGUCGGGUUAAGUCCCAUAACGAGCGCAACCCUUAUCGUUAGUUACCAUCAGGUUAUGCUGGGGACUCUAGCGAGACUGCCACUGUAAGGUGAGAGGAAGGUGGGGAUGACGUCAAAUCAGCACGGCCCUUAUGUCCAGGGCUACACACGUGUUACAAUGGCAAGUACAAAGGGCAGCUACCUGGUGACAGGAUGCUAAUCUCAGAAAGCCUGUCCCAGUUCGGAUUGGAGU